CAGCAUCUUGGAGAUUUUCUAAAGAAGAGUCCAGACCCGAAACGUCAGCUUUCCUGCUCUUCUGAUGCUGCUUGGCCCGCUGUGCUCAUCCAGCUCUGCACCUUGUUAUCUCAGAUUCUCCAACAUCAGCAGUUACCACUAUCUCAGCAUCCUGGUCCUUUAAUUUAGAACAUGAUGUCGAUCUCUGACGGUGAUGGUACUACAGCAGGGCUUUGGAUCUGGACUCGCUAUAAUACCGGUGCCUUGUCAACAUCACACCUUUCUAGGAGCAGCAACAAGUAAUAUACCCAGAGACCUCCCAAGACACUUCAGGAACAUUAACAACAAACAAACCAGUGUGAUUUGGCUAAUCAAGAAUCAUGCUUUCCACAUGCAAAGGAUGGAACAAAAUCAGGCACUGCCAGACUUGCUGAGCUUUUCCAGCAACUUUGUUUUUGUGAUAACAAGGUGUAGAGCUGGAUGAACACAGCAGGCCAAGCAGCAGGAAAAGCUGACGUUUCAGGUUGAGACCCUUCUUCAGAAACUUUGCUUUUGUUCCUGAUUUACAACAUCUGCAAUUCUUUCAGUUUCUAAUCAACAAAAUUAAAUCUCUGAACUUUGCACAUUACAAUCAAUGAGCAUACUCCAAAUUGAAACUUGUGUUAUCAAAUAGUGGGCACAGGUCAUCUCAAAGUCUUGAUAAAUUAAACUACGAAACAAAACCUUACAUGCUAAUACAUUCUCACAUUCACUGGCACAUAGUGUUCAUACCGUAUAGAUAUAAGAAAGAAGUUAACCAGGUUGCAAAGAAAUACAAAUUCAUAGCAAGAUGUAAUCUAGCACACAUUAAGUGGAAGGUAAAAUUGAUCAACGGACCUGUUUGUUUUCAGCGACGGGAAACACAAACUGGCAGGUGAAUUAAAACUGAACCAAUUCCAACAAAGGGAAAAAGGGAAUUCAUUGAAGACUAGAGGUCCCACGAAUGAAUAAAAGGAAAUUAGGCCAAAUCUAAAAUUAGAAAAAUAUUUAAUCCGCACAUGAUAGAUGGAUAAAGAAAUAGAAUUUAAUUAUAAAGGAGCUGCUACAGAAGUAGAUGGAGGUUAGAAACGCUAGAGAAUUUAAAAAAAUUAAUAAGAAAUAGGCAAUAUAAGACCUUUCGACAGAUGGAUUAAAUAGGACAAGAGGAUCAUUACAGUGAGCUCGGGCUCCCGAGUUUGAGAUGUUGCUUUAGAUCAGUCAGCGAAAAAAAUCCUGAAGUUCUGUAUCUUCACGUUCAGGGGAGAUUGAUAUUGAACUUAUAGGGCUAGAGGUUAUAAUGGUAAGAGCUAUGGUUUUAAAGGGGUUAUAAAAUCCCAAGGAAGGCAAGCUACCAAAAUUUGAUAAAUAAUAAUCUCAUGGAAGGACACGGUUCUAAAUGGAAUUCUGAAGAAGUCUGUGAAAUAGAACUUGUGCAAAAAAAAAUUAUCACUCUCGGGACAUGGACAUCACUGGCUGGCCAGCAUUAUUGACCAUCCCUUGUUGCCUUGAGAACGUGGUGGUGAGCUGCUUUCAUGUUGCAGUUCGUGUACUGUUGGAAGACCCACAAUGACCUUGGGGAGAGAAUUCCAGAAUUUAGUCAACAGUCAAAUUGAACCAGAGGAAUGGAAAGAAACCAAGAUGGCUUUCCAAGCCAGGAAAUCACGAGGCAGGCCACCAGACUAAAAUAACUGAGUACUGAGUAAAAAAAAAAGUGAAUAAGGGUCUGUUAACACUGAUUUUAGGCCUGACCAACCUGUUGGAAUUCUUUGAAGAAACAGACUAGAUGCUCUGCUGUUUUACAGAUCUUAAAGGGUAAAGUACCUGAUAAAGUUUUAUAGCAAAGAUAGUAGCACACGGAAUUGAGAACAGUGUGGCUACAUAAACAGAAAGUGGUUUGACGUCGAAAAGAUUAAAAUAAAACUGGCGGGUGGAUGAUUUUGCAAUGGGGUCCAUGUCACAGCUGCCCUUGUUGCUAUGUAAUUAAUAAACUGCAAUCAUUAAAAUUUCAUCUCAGUUACACAACACGAAAUUAUAAAACCAUUUGAAACAUCGCAGGAGGGAGAUAAGUAGCAUAUACACUCAAAUGCAGGAAAAUAUAGACAAUAUUGAAAACAAAAACGGGGAAAGACAAAACGGAAAUGGAGAGUUCAAGUUAUUUAAAAAAGCUGCAACUUUUUCCACUGGAAUAUAGGAGAUUGUGGGGUGACCUUACAGCUUUAUAAAAUUAUACAGGGAACAGAUAAGCUGUAUAGCAAAGAUCUUUUUUCCUAGG